rnacentral:rRNA from 1 species
GACGAACCGAGCGAACGUUGUUCGGAAUCACUGGGCUUAAAGGGCGCGUAGGCGGGUUCUCAAGUCCGGGGUGAAAUCCCACAGCUCAACUGUGGAACUGCCUCGGAUACUGGGGGUCUCGAGGGUGGUAGGGGUAUGCGGAACUAUCGGUGGAGCGGUGAAAUGCGUUGAUAUCGAUAGGAACUCCGGUGGCGAAGGCGGCAUACUGGACCACAUCUGACGCUGAGGCGCGAAAGCCAGGGGAGCGAACGGG